UUGCUGGGUUGAGCUCCCUCCAGUCCAGCCCUAGAUCUGCCAGUUCAUUGCUUGCCAUUUCAAUUCAGGGCCAGGAGCCUCCUCCUGCUGCUUUUGGCUUUGCUGCUGGUGGCCUGCAGCUGGAAGUGUCUUGACUAUUACAUAAGACAUAGAGAGCUAAGAGUGUGUGAACCUGCUCCACCCUGGCCGUCCACCCCAGGCUGCUGACGUGCCGGGUCCUGGGUCCGGUGCUGGGGGCACCAGGUUCAAAGCCAGCUCCUCCCGGGGAAGACUUACGAGUGCUCACAAGGAGGAGGCUGGGAUUUACAACGGCUGGCUGUCAGAGCAGAAGUAAGGUCCGCACCAGCGUUGCACAGGGUCAACAUUCAUGUGGCCUGGGAUGAGACGGGACAGCCGCGGCCCUCAAGAAAGGCAGAAGUGUUGGCUCCAGGAAAUUGCUUCUGUUCCCGCAUGAGGGUUUCCCCCUCUACACCACAGGAUGUGCUUCCUACAGCCUCCCCCGGGAAAAGUAAGACGCCUGCCAGCCUUACAGGAAUAAGAUGA
rnacentral:lncRNA from 1 species